UGAUCAUUACCAAAGCUUUUAAGAUACAGUUUCUCGUUUGCUGUGGACAUGAACAUUUAAAAAAAAAAAAUCCCCACUAGGUUUUCUAUAUGCUACUUGGCUAGCAGUCAACCUAUUGAGAACAUUU
ensembl:snoRNA